UUUCAUAUUAUCUUAAUUAGUAUUAUAGCUAAUCUUUAUUAAUAAAAUUGAUUAAUUAAUGUUUUAUUGUGUCUGGGUGCAUGUAAUUCAAAAGACCCAAUAACGUUGGAUUUGAGCUCAAUGCCUGGCAGCCCGUGCUCAACAAAUCCCUAGCGUCUCAUCUGAGUCUCACGUUGCCUGUCAUCCAUCAUGCAAUCCAUAUCACUGCGUCCAGCUGAUUCAGCCAGCAUUAGUGCCCGCGUCAUGAAGAUCCCAGCUCAUCCACAACGGCCAUCCACGUAUUCCAAGCGGCAUCCGAUCAUCUGCCCAAAUCUUCAACUUCUCAACAUCCCUCCACUUCCUUUACAGCAAAUGAAUUC
rnacentral:lncRNA from 1 species